GAUGAACGCUAGCUACAGGCUUAACACAUGCAAGUCGAGGGGAAACGACAUCGAAAGCUUGCUUUUGAUGGGCGUCGACCGGCGCACGGGUGAGUAACGCGUAUCCAACCUGCCCACCACUUGGGGAUAACCUUGCGAAAGUAAGACUAAUACCCAAUGAGAUCCCACGAAGACAUCCGAAUGGGAUUAAAGAUUUAUCGGUGAUGGAUGGGGAUGCGUCUGAUUAGCUUGUUGGCGGGGUGACGGCCCACCAAGGCAACGAUCAGUAGGGGUUCUGAGAGGAAGGUCCCCCACAUUGGAACUGAGACACGGUCCAAACUCCUACGGGAGGCAGCAGUGAGGAAUAUUGGUCAAUGGGCGAGAGCCUGAACCAGCCAAGUAGCGUGCAGGAUGACGGCCCUAUGGGUUGUAAACUGCUUUUAUAAGGGAAUAAAGUGGGUCACGUGUGACUUUUUGCAUGUACCUUAUGAAUAAGGACCGGCUAAUUCCGUG
rnacentral:rRNA from 1 species